rnacentral:rRNA from 1 species
AACGAACGCUGGCGGCGCGUUUUAAGCAUGCAAGUCGGACGGCAAGGAGAGUAGCAAUACUUUCCCUAGAGUGGCGAACGGGUGAGUAACACGUAGGUGAUCUACCUCUGGAUGGGGGAUAGCCCGUGGAAACACGGGGUAAUACCGCAUGAGGCCUUGUGGGUAAAGCCAUGAGGUGAAAGGUGCAAUUGCAUCGUCUGGGGAUGAGCCUGCGGUCCAUUAGUUAGUUGGCGGGGUAAUGGCCCACCAAGACGUCGAUGGAUAGCCGGCCUGAGAGGGUGGACGGCCACACUGGAACUGAGACACGGUCCAGACUCCUACGGGAGGCAGCAGCUAAGAAUCUUCCGCAAUGGGGGCAACCCUGACGGAGCGACGCCGCGUGGAUGAUGAAGGCCGUAAGGUUGUAAAAUCCUUUUGUCGGUGAAGAAUAAGCGGGGGAGUGGAAAGCCCCCGUGAUGACGUUAGCCGACGAAUAAGCCCCGGCUAAUUACGUGCCAGCAGCCGCGGUAAUACGUAUGGGGCGAGCGUUGUUCGGAUUUAUUGGGCGUAAAGGGCGUGUAGGCGGCUCAUCAAGUCUGGUGUGAAAACGCAAGGCUUAACCUUGCAUAGGCGCUGGAAACUGGUGGGCUUGAGUUCUUGAGGGGAAGCUGGAAUUCCAGGUGUAGGGGUGAAAUCUGUAGAUAUCUGGAAGAACACCGGUGGCGA